UGGAAAUGAGGCUGGCAGAGAACAGCAUCUGGUCGAGCAAAGGGGAAGAGAGACGACCAGAGAGCAGAAGUCCUGAGGGUUUGCCCAUCUACAGGUUCCAUGACUAUUUGGAAACAGAUGAGCACUUUAUGAGGAGGCCUUCUACAGCUUACAGGCUCUGUCCCUUUUUUGGAGCCUCACACAGGGGAGAGUGGAUCCCAGAUUCCAGCUGGGGCAGGUCCCAAGUUCACUCCCGCUCCAAGGAAACGGUGGGCAGCUUGGAGGGGAGCUGCCAAAUUCAAAUGAUGUCUUGAACUCUGUAGUUCCCAGAUGAGGUCUCACCAGACUAGGUUUCAUGCCACCUGCAUUAGGCCCUUCUGCUUCCAGCUGAGCUGGUCAAAACGAGAGACAACUUCCUGUGCAUUUGGAACCUGUGCUUUCCAUUCUGGCAAGGG